GAUCUUGGGAACACUGGUGAUUUGUUAGUGGCAUCUUCAGGUAGAUGCGGUGACUUUACCCAGGCCGGGGAUGCUCUGAGACACUCCGAGAGCCUCCAUGUGAUAAAGUCACGCCCACAGAAUGGGAGAUGCCUUGUGACUCUUUUACCACUCCUGGUAUCUGCAACAGUUUGUUCCUGAAAGUUGAACUCCUCUGUCUUCAACUCCACAGCCUGGAAAGGCGGCUAUGCUAAAUUUAACAUGACCUAUCUGUGCUUUCCAUUUUACUGUGAGGGUGUCUUCGGAGCACUUUUGACUGCGAAAUGUCCGAGCAAGAAGAAGCUGGAUUCAGAUGUUGGAACUCAAGGAAAUUAGUGCUGCUAGGUCUUACAGUAUGAUGAACUGCCCCGGCAGGUGAUCUGAGGUGUGCAGGGAUCUACCCAGAAGACAGGAGCGGGGUGUGGCCCGGAGAUGGAGCUGUUGAGGAAGGGCGGAGCAUGGGAGAGGCAGAGCAUAGGAGGCUCUGGAAAAGAGAGAGGUUCCAGAGGCUCUGGCAAGGCAGCAGAUGGGCAAAGGCAGGCAUUGAGUGCAGGACGCAGGAGAGGUUGACUGAACUGCAAAACCUGGCCAGCCAACAGAAGGCAGCACCAACAGGUGACUAGCAGAUAGAGGCUGGCCAAGGCUGCCCGGCUCAGUGCCUCUUUCCGGUGGUGCACACCCUGCAGGGUGUCCCAGGCCAUUUUAGUUGCUGAUCCAAAAAAGGCUGGGCAAUGGGAACAAGGCAGCGGAUACAUCUUUCACACCUGCUGAACGCUCACCAACUCGUCAACACUGGGCAGUGGGCAGAUUCCUAAGAGGAGACAGGGCCUCCUGAAGUCCAGGGUAUGCAGGAUUUCUAAGUCUCUGCUCUUUUGCCCUAGGGCAAAAGAGUGCUUCCACCUCCUGUACCCAGGUAGACUCACUACCUGGGUGUAGAGAAGCUAUUUCGGGAGCUGAUUGUCCCCAUUGGCUGUCCUAGAGCGGAAUGGGGUCCUUCCAAAGAGGAACAAGGACAGCCUCCACCACAAGUUCAUUCAGUGUGUGCCAGGAUGGCAGGCUACAGCCAGAACCCAGCACGGGGUCACAGCACUGACAGAAUCAACGGCAUGCCAGGAACCCAGGCUUGGAGACACUGAAGGACACCAGCCUGUGACCUGGCUGCAGAGGUGGUGGACUGUGAACAUGAGGAAUUGCUUAGCUUGGCUGUCUCUGGAAGAUGACAAGAGGUGGCUAGGCACAGGAGCAGAGAGAGAGGCACAGCCGAGAACUUCUCCUGGUGUUCCUGGUCGUCUUGGUUGUUCCCGAUGACUGGUGCUGAUUCAGCUGAGGUCUGGCUGUUCCUGCUAGGUCCUGCCACAACCGCUGCUAUCCCGACACAAUUGAACUGGGUUGCUGGUGUAUCCGUGAAGUGUUUGUAAGUGGAGCAAGUUGCCACUGCUGAUCUGUGAACUGAACUGCUGGUUUCCUGACAAUGUGGAUGGGAUUUUCUCUAAAGAAUCAUUUCUAAACAGGUUCACUUCCCCCAUAUCCUUUCUUUUCCACUACCUCUGGUGGGUGGCUGCUGGGCUAGAAGGGAGGUUAAAGUGUUAAGAACCAUCAUUAAAA